rnacentral:rRNA from 1 species
ACGUAGGGUGCAAACGUUGUCCGGAAUUACUGGGUGUAAAGGGUGCACAGGCGGUUUUGUGCGUCAGAGGUAAAAUCCCACAGCUCAACUGUGGUCCUGCCUUUGCUCGGGCAAGACUUGAGUAUAAGAGAGGAUGAUAGAAUUCCUGGGGUAGCGGUGAAAUGCGUAGAUAUCAGGAGGAAUCCCAGUGGCGAAGGCGGUCAAUUGGCUUGUAACUGACUCUUAAGCACGAAAGCAUGGGUAGCGAACAG